rnacentral:rRNA from 1 species
AUUGAACGCUGGCGGCAGGCCUAACACAUGCAAGUCGAGCGGCAGCGGGAAAGUAGCUUGCUACUUUUGCCGGCGAGCGGCGGACGGGUGAGUAAUGCCUGGGAAAUUGCCCAGUCGAGGGGGAUAACAGUUGGAAACGACUGCUAAUACCGCAUACGCCCUACGGGGGAAAGCAGGGGACCUUCGGGCCUUGCGCGAUUGGAUAUGCCCAGGUGGGAUUAGCUAGUUGGUGAGGUAAUGGCUCACCAAGGCGACGAUCCCUAGCUGGUCUGAGAGGAUGAUCAGCCACGCUGGAACUGAGACACGGUCCAGACUCCUACGGGAGGCAGCAGUGGGGAAUAUUGCACAAGUGGGGAAACCCUGAUGCAGCCAUGCCGCGUGUGUGAAGAAGGCCUUCGGGUUGUAAAGCACUUUCAGCGAGGAGGAAAGGUUGAUGCCUAAUACGUAUCAACUGUGACGUUACUCGCAGAAGAAGCACCGGCUAACUCCGUGCCAGCAGCCGCAGUAACAC